GCCGCAAUGGUGGAAUUGGUAGACACGAGGGACUUAAAAUCCCUUGGCCAGUAAAGGCUGUGCGGGUUCGAGUCCCGCUCGCGGCA
rnacentral:tRNA from 1 species